rnacentral:rRNA from 1 species
UACGUAGGGGGCCAGCGUUGUCCGGAUUCAUUGGGCGUAAAGCGCGUGUAGGCGGCCAGGUAGGUCCGAUGUGAAAUCUGGAGGCUCAACCUCCAGCGGUCAUUGGAAACCAUCUGGCUAGAGUCCGGAAGAGGAGAGUGGAAUUCCUGGUGUAGCGGUGAAAUGCGCAGAUAUCAGGAAGAACACCAAUGGCGAAGGUAGCUCUCUGGGACGGUACUGACGCUGAGACGCGAAAGCGUGGGGAGCGAACAGG